rnacentral:lncRNA from 1 species
AAUUUAUAGUUGCAUUAAAAUUCUAUAUUAAUCUCCCUUCAUAUUUUUAAUUCCAUAUGUAAUUAUUUCCAGUACUUAAAGAGAAUCGUUUCGUAUGCAAAGACGAAAUCCGGUUCCAAGAACAAUAUUUUGAGCUAUUCCGUAUGGGAACAUAUUGCCUGUAAUAAGUUUCGUCUUCAUAAAGAAGUGGCUUGGCUAUAUUUUGAAAAUUAUUUUUUGGUUCAUCUAAGAAAAGUUGACGAACGUAUCGAAUGGGAUCGACAGUUUUCGGAUGC